rnacentral:ncRNA from 2 species
GGAGUAACUAUGACUCUCU